UCCUGGUUUCCCAGGCAGUCUGAUUAGAGUGCUACCUUGCGGUAAGCAACUAAUCACAAGGGUUGCGCUCGUUCAAGGACUUAACCCGACGUCUCACGACACGAGCUGACGACAGCCAUGCAGCACCUGUGUAACCGUCCGUAUUACUACGGAACCCAAUAUUUCUAUCAGUAGCGAUUACAUGUCAAACCCAGGUAAGGUUCCUCGCGUAGUGUCGAAUUAAACCACAUGUUCCACCGCUUGUGCGGACCCCCGUCAAUUCCUUUGAGUUUUAAUCUUGCGACCGUACUUCCCAGGUGGAUCACUUAACGCGUUAGCUUCGACACGGAUCCUGCUAAGCAGAACCCACAUCCAGUGAUCAUCGUUUACGGCGUGGACUAC
rnacentral:misc_RNA from 1 species